GUGCUCACUAGGGCAACACAUAUACUAAAAUUGGAAUGGUACAGUGAAAACUAGCAUGGCUCUGCACAAGGAUGAGAUGCAAAAACUAACAAAACAAAAACAAAAAA